GCUGAAUGGAGGUGUACAUAGGUAAUGUGGUCAUCAAUAGAAGGCUUUUGUGUUGCCUUGUAUUCUCCUUUUUAUGCCUCUGAACUUCUGCGAUUUCAUGAAGCCACAAGCAGGAGAAGGUGCUGGCACCUUGAGGUUGCCCAACCACCUUCCAACAUUCAGGAACUAAUUGCCAACAUGUCUGAUACCGAGGAAGUGGAACAAGGAGAGG